rnacentral:rRNA from 1 species
GACGAACGCUGGCGGCGUGCCUAAUACAUGCAAGUAGAACGCUGAAGGAGGAGCUUGCUCUUCUGGAUGAGUUGCGAACGGGUGAGUAACGCGUAGGUAACCUGCCUGGUAGCGGGGGAUAACUAUUGGAAACGAUAGCUAAUACCGCAUAAGAGUAGAUGUUGCAUGACAUUUACUUAAAAGGUGCAAUUGCAUCACUACCAGAUGGACCUGCGUUGUAUUAGCUAGUUGGUGGGGUAACGGCUUACCAAGGCGACGAUACAUAGCCGACCUGAGAGGGGGAUCGGCCACACUGGGACUGGGACACGGCCCAGACUUCUACGGGAGGCAGCAGUAGGGAAACUUCGGCAAUGGACGGAAGGCUGACCGAGCAACGCCGCGGGAGGGAAGAAGGGUUUCGGAUCGUAAAGAUCUGUUGUAAGAGAAGAAAGAGUGUGAGAGUGGAAAGUUCACACUGUGACGGUAUCUUACCAGAAAGGGACGGCUAACUACGUG